rnacentral:rRNA from 1 species
GAAUCAACGCUGGCGGCGUGCCUCAGACAUGCAAGUCGAACGCGAAAGUCCCUUCGGGGAGCAAGUAGAGUGGCGCACGGGUGAGUAACACGUAGGUAAUCUACCUUCGGAUGGGGAAUAACAACCGGAAACGGUUGCUAAUACCGCAUAAUGCAGCGGCACCUAAUGGUGACAGUUGUUAAAGCGGGGGAUCGCAAGACCUCGCGUCUGAAGAGGAGCCUGCGGCAGAUUAGCUAGUUGGUAAGGUAACGGCUUACCAAGGCGAUGAUCUGUAGCCGGCCUGAGAGGGCGGUCGGCCACACUGACACUGACAUACGGGUCAGACUCCUACGGGAGGCAGCAGUCGGGAAUUUUGGGCAAUGGGCGAAAGCCUGACCCAGCAACGCCGCGUGAAGGAUGAAAUCCCUCGGGAUGUAAACUUCGCAAGAACAGGAAGAAUAAGUGAGAGUUAAUAUCUCUUACGAUGACGGUACUGUUUGUAAGCUCCGGCUAACUCCGUGCCAGCAGCCGCGGUAAUACGGGGGGAGCAAGCGUUGUUCGGAUUUACUGGGCGUAAAGGGCGCGUAGGCGGCCACCGCAAGUCGACUGUGAAAUCUCCGGGCUUAACUCGGAAAGGUCAGCCGAUACUGCGGGGCUAGAGUGCAGAAGGGGCAACUGGAAUUCUCGGUGUAGCGGUGAAAUGCGUAGAUAUCGAGAGGAACACCUGCGGCGAAGGCGGGUUGCUGGGCUGACACUGACGCUGAUGUGCGAAAGCUAGGGGAGCGAACGGGAUUAGAUACCCCGGUAGUCCUAGCCUUAAACGAUGAAUGCUUGGUGUCUGGGGUUUUAUAGUCCCCGGGUGCCGUCGCUAACGCUUUAAGCAUUCCGCCUGGGGAGUACGGUCGCAAGACUGAAACUCAAAGGAAUUGACGGGGACCCGCACAAGCGGUGGAGCAUGUGGUUUAAUUCGACGCAACGCGAAGAACCUUACCUGGGCUAGAAUGCCUCUGACAACCCUAGAGAUAGGGCCUUCUGGGUAAAACCAGACGGAGUGCAAGGUGCUGCAUGGCUGUCGUCAGCUCGUGUCGUGAGAUGUUGGGUUAAGUCCCGCAACGAGCGCAACCCUUAUCAAUAGUUGCCAGCGGUUCGGCCGGGCACUCUAUUGAGACUGCCGUUGACAAAACGGAGGAAGGUGGGGAUGACGUCAAGUCCUCAUGGCCUUUAUGUCCAGGGCUACACACGUGCUACAAUGGCAAGUACAAAGCGCUGCAAACCUGUAAAGGGGAGCCAAUCGCAAAAAGCUUGUCUCCAGUUCGGAUUGGAGUCUGCAACUCGA